CUGGAUUUGCCUUCUGAGUGCAUCGUUGUGUUCUCUCCCACGCGUGUGACUACAAAGACAAUCGCCUGCUUCAUCUUGGUUUUUAGAAUUUCUUUCUUGGAUUUUAUUGUUAAACAAAGAUGAAGAGCAAACGAACUAAGAUAGAUGCUAGGCCACGCUGCAGCGUAGAUCUGCAGGGAAUCCCUAAGGAACAAAGUACCCUUCUCACUGAGCAUCACUUCUCAAUAGAAACUUACAUCCUAAAACAAAGGAAAGAUGGAAGGAUUGGCUUUAAAAUGUGAGUCGACUGAGCCUGCAUCUCAGCGAGUUCUGUCCGUCACUGGGAGCUCAGAUGGCAUUGUGCCACAGUCACAGCUGCAGUUCUGAGGCUGGUCUUAGGGGACAUGUUUGUCCACAAAGGACAUUCAUAUGCGUUCAUAUCAGGCAAACACACACCCAAAGUGACCCUGGGUCGUUCCCAGUGAGGUUAGUCAAGAGCAUUGUGGUUUUAGUUUGUCUCUGUUUAAAUUAACUGCUUUGAGUAGGAAAAGUCUGAAGUCUUUAUCAUGUGGUAGCUGGUCAUGUGACUGUUGAGGAAAUGCUCACGCUUAAUUCCUUUAGAAGUUCAGAGUCUCAGCCCCAUGUCAGGUCAACAGUGUUAUAAACAGCGCCUUUGUGAACGCUGCUCACUGCCUGCCAUUGGCAACCUGUUCUCUUCUAAGAGUGCUGGGUACCAAAUUGUUACCAGUGUUUAUAUUUCAAGGUCGGUGAAAAGUAGAAGUCUCAGUGUAAUGUGGGAACAGCAGUCCACGUAAGAAACUGUAGAUGUCUGUAGUACUUUCUUGCAGUUCAUUUGAAACUUUGGAUGCUGAGCUUUAUCUG
rnacentral:lncRNA from 1 species